AUUUAUGUAGUUUAUAUAAAACAUUACACUUUCAUUGUAAAAAUAAAACAUUAAUUUUCAUAAAUA
rnacentral:tRNA from 1 species